rnacentral:rRNA from 1 species
CUACGGGCCGCUGCAGUGAGGAAUAUUGCACAAUGGGGGGAACCCUGAUGCAGCAACGCCGCGUGGAGGAUGACGCAUUUCGGUGUGUAAACUCCUUUUAUAUGCCAAGAAAAUGACGGUAGCAUAUGAAUAAGCACCGGCUAACUCCGGCCAGCGAGCCGCGGUAAUACGGGGGGUGCAAGCGUUACUCGGAAUCACUGGGCGUAAAGGACGCGUAGGCGGGUUGGAAAGUCAGGUGUGAAAUCCUACAGCUUAACUGUAGAACUGCACUUGAAACUUCUAAUCUAGAGUAUGGGAGGGGGAGAUGGAAUUAGUGGUGUAGGGGUAAAAUCCGUAGAUAUCACUAGGAAUACCUAAAGCGAAGGCGAUCUCCUGGAACAUUACUGACGCUAAGGCGUGAAAGCGUGGGGAGCAAACAGGAUUAGAUACCCCUGUAGUC